ACGCACGUAUAGGGUAGUUUUUCUAUCUCCUCUAGUCGCUUUCCUUUCUAAUCUGCCACUUGCGAUCUGAAAAAACCUGCUCGCUGCCGCCGGCCACCUAGAUUGUCUACCGUCGAGAAGGAAAAGCGACAGGCAAGCACGGUCGCGCCGAUCCACGGGCGCAUUCCAGCCGGCCGGCCGGCCGCACUGACGAACAACCAAACGAGAAAAAGAAAGACAUGAAGAGAAAGAAAGGGAUUAGGGGGAGCGACCAUGGACCUAAGGAUGAAUGACGUCUUCCAUGCCAGCAUGGCAUGGGACGGCCUCGCUUGUCUCCUAUGUUUUACCCGUGACCCGUUGUCACCGUUCUCGGUCAUUGACGUCCACAUGCAGGAUCAGUGCUCCACAGUCCGAAGCGAGAUGGCAUGUGUCUCUUUUUGCCAAUAGCUUGGUGUAUGCGGUGCAACGGUGUCCAGUGGUUCCCAGGAGGCGUUGUGUCACUUCUAAUCAGUAGUAGCAGGUGCUUCUUGUUGGGGGUGUAGCCACUUAUGUGCUCAUGCUCAACAGUGAGCUGGUGGUGUUUGCUACUCCCUCCGUCCGGAAAUACUUGCCAUCAAAAUGGAUAAAAGGGAUGUAUCUAGACGU